GGGGCGGUAAGCCUAUAGGCCCAAUAGUCCGGUACCCUGCGCCGCUCGCGCGGCCCGCCUGAGGACCUGUGGAACCCGAGGCGACACCUCCGCUGCUCCGCCGCCACUCGAGCGGCGGCGAUGCCACCCAAACUGCGGAAGAGGUCGACGGGGGCGGCGGCACGAUCCCCCGCCACGAAUGGAGAAGAAGGCCAUACUGGCUCUAAAUCAUCGGAAACGAGUCCGGCUGCUAGCGGAAGGUGGACACGAGCUCGAGCGAGGGAUCUAGGGUUCGAUACUACCGACCACCCUAGAGUGUCGGAUUCUGCUGGCGGCGGGGGCAGGACUGACCGCAAAGCGCCGGCAGGAGCGGCUCCGAAGAAGAGAAAGGGCGUAUCGGCGUCGACGUCGGCAGGUCCGGUUCCGAGGAAGACAACGGCGGCGGGCAGGAAAAGAAGAAACCCGCCUUGUCCCAGCUUACCGCCGGGGCAAUGCACCAAACUCGACCAACGAGAUAUCCCCACUCUCAGGGAUGAGCCUAGGGAUCCCCUCACCGCUGAUGCCGUGGUCAGUUCGCAAGACAAGGCCAUGGUGCUACGCGUGGCUCGCUCCGUUGUCAGUGUUUCAUCCAUAACGCCUGAUGGGGGAUUGAUUUUCCAGUGCACUGGCAUCGUCUUUGGUUGGGAUGGGGCUAACAAGUGCGCCAAGAUCCUGACCUCUUCUUCUGUCGUCUGUGACUUCAAGGGUGAAUUACAUGACCCAACACUCAAGCUAUCUGUUCAUCUGCCAGAUAACACUAUCACAGAAGGACGGUUGUUGUCCUUCAAUGUUCACUAUGAUGUUGCUCUUUUAGAGGUCAUGGGAGACUUCCAGUUGCAGGUCCCUUCUUUUGGCUCGAGUACAACCUAUGGUCAGGACGUAUUUGCAUUGGCUAGGGAUGAAAACAUGUGCUUAAUGGUUAGGCAUGGAAAAAUCUCAUGGCUGGAAUGUCCCAUGUUAUUGAACAACCACUAUAUGUUUCUGAGUUGUGAUAUUCCUGAGGGUGGUUCAGGAGGGCCAGUGAUUGACCAUGAUGGUAAUAUCAUUGGGAUUGUAUUUGACAAUAACCCGGGUCCGGUAGUAACCUCUAUCACUACAAUCAGAACUUGCGUUGAGAUGUGGCAUCAGUUUAGCCGUGUUGCUCGCCCCAUACUUGGCAUGCAAUUGAAGGCGGUGGAACUACUGGAUGUCUCUAAACUGGAGGAACUCUGUCUUGACAACAAUAUCACCAGCGGUUUCAUUGUGAAUCUGGUGAAAGUUGAUUCUAUUGCGGAGAGGCUUGGUAUUAGACGAGGGGAUGUGAUUGUUUUUCAGGAUAGUUGUUGUUCUACUUUACCUCAGUUAGAAGACUACCUUCUUUCUCUUGGCUGGGGAUACCUGCAGGGGAAAAGUUUGACAGUAGAUCUCAAGUCCUAAUCUGGAAGCAUCAAGGGAGAAGACGCUACCAUCAAACCGAAUUAGAGAGAGAGAAGAAAGUGAGCAUGAACCAUAAACAAGUGUGAAUGAUUCAAGUAAACAAGAUAUAUUCAUCCACCAGAUACUUCCAUCACAUUGCGCAUGUGCAUAUCAAGACCAAGAGGUACCUCAUUGCUUGUGGCCUGCUGGUAUGGGUGUCUCACCCAGGCCAGUGCGGGCGCGAUGGCCGCUGUCGAGGUUGGAAAUGGCGUGGGUAGACAGGGGCACAGGGCACGGCGUUGCAAAUAGAGGUCAGGGGCGAGACGGCCGAGAAGAUGUGGUGCUCCAAUCCAAUCAUUACGCCGGCCACCACGCCGUCAUCAACUCCGCUCCGUCGCAGCCCGGCGUGGACGCGCCGCCUCUGCCGAGCCCCUCGGUUGAAGUUCAUAAUCUUGUUGACUCAUUUAGGGAAAACAUUACUUUCCCUGUACAAUUCUCUGAUGCUUCUAAGUGGGUUGAUUGAGGGUGACUUAAAAAGGUGCUGCAUUGUCACCUAGUAAUAUGACUGACCAUGGAGGAUAUGUGACAUUAUCGAAGAAUGUGCAAUCCUUGUUUAAUGAAAUGGCAGUCUUCUAAACCUAUAUGUUGACAAGCUACUAGCAAUAGCUCUAUAUAUGACACAAAAUUUGACAAUUUCACCCGUUCCGAAAACUAAUUUCGCAAAUGAACCGCGGCCAAAAUUUAUUUCAAAAAUGUCCCUUUUGUUUAGCGCCAAAUCAUAUGGCGUUGAACCUAAACACCUCAGCACCACGUCAACUGGCGCUGAUUACAGUGCCACCGUGGAUGGGAGGCUGAGUCGGCGUGCCAACGUGCAUUCAGCGCCGUGCUAUUUGGCGCUGAUAUGUCUAAGUUCAGUGUCAUACGAUAUGGCGCUGAACAAAAGAGUCAUUUUUAAAAUAAGUUUUAGCCGCGGUUCAUUUGCGAAACUAGUUUUCGGAAAGGGUCAAAUUGUCAAAUUAAGUGCUAUAUAUGAAGUUAAAACUAAAUUCCUAGUUCCUCCCUUUCCUUGUUACCAUCAUUGCCCAAAGAUUAAAAAAAAGGCUAAAUGUGACGACAUUUUUUCAUGACAAGCGGAAGAAAUGGGCACGCCUUUUGCAUCAAUGAUUGUGUUCGGAGAGGCAUCUUUUUAUGGAAUGACGUUCAUUAGCUCAGGCAUGUAGAAGUAUGCAGCUGCUGCCUAGUAAUUUUGUUAGGGUGUUUGUACUCACACGUCCAUUUCAAUUUCUACCGUUGACAUGUUACAUAUCUCAUUAUUAGAAGUACAGUACUUAUGUACAUUGUACACCGGACUGGAGGUCUUGGAUCUCCCACUCUCUCUAGUGUAGCAAGGUAUGUACGCAUGUGUCCAUCAGUCCAUGUAGUGUGGGUGGGCUAUGUAUGUGUCAUCAGUAUUAAAAACCAGUAACGGCAUAUAUACCAGUCGGGGCUGUUUUA